CGUUUUCUCUCUGGCUGUCUACGAAAGACAUCCCAAAGUCUGCGUGAUUACGUCGAGUCAUGCAAGGAUUCUGGUGGGGUGUCCGGCCUAUCAGUGUUUGUUUCCCCAUCCACAAGACGGGAACCACGUUUGGGCUUCCCCGAGGCUCGACCGAUGGUGUGGACGGCAGCGCCUUGGCAGGAAGAAAAGGGGACAUCUUCGGUGGGGCAGCCAAUGCAACUUCCACGGUAUUUUUCGGCCGGCUGGGAGCCCACGCUUGUGUAAUGCCGUCAGGACAGCAUGCAGAGAAUGUCACUCACUGCAGGACCCCACUGACACCAGGGCAGUCACGAUAUAGCCAAACCCCAUGCCAAGGGACACCAAAGACGAAAGCCUCCGUGGGCCACAUCAUUCGCCUGCAACAUCCCUCAAAGUGUAGUGGCUUGUAUACCUGGUCACUGUUAGUAGUGGGCAUAGAGAGAUGACAGACACAGAUUCUUGUCCUCCGGCCAUAAAACCAGCUGCCUAGAAUUUGGCGAAGUGACCAGUUUUGCUGAAAUAAAAACCUCGGUUUUACGUGGAAGUGAUUCACUGCUCUGCAUCCAACAUCAACAUGCUUCCUGCUUCCCCUGUGUCUUUAAAUCCAGAUGUUGGCUUAAUACAUCCACAGAGCACCUCCCACAUGCUGAGCACCGGGUUCGGUGCUGAGAGGGAUCCAGAGAUAAUCCGUGAGGGCCGAGGGCCCGGGAGCUCACGGUCCACGAUGGAGAUGCCACCCGUGUCCAAUGACGGAGCAGACUGUCACCAGCCCUCUCGGUGGGGCCCCCCAGACCAGAGCCACUGGGAAAGAGCACAGACGUGCCAAAGAACCAUCAGACUCAGAGCUGGCAAAGUGUCUUUAGGGCUUUGCUCUCCAGUGGGUUGGGCCAACCUUCUCGAGGGGUCCUUGCCGCAAGACUCCCUAAGGUUCUGAGUGGCCUCGGUAGCUGGUGUUUGACAGGCAUAUGGGGAGAGGCCCAUGCCUGCUCUCCCAGAAUUCUGUGUUCCUCUGUAUCCUUGGCAGGGUCAGAAGACAGAAACCAUUUCUCACAGUCUCGGCAAAUGUCAGCCCCGGAAAAGGCCCCGAAGAGGGUUUACUCCAGUCUCCCUCAUUUGUGGCAACUGAGGCCCAAAGAAGGAAAGGAUGCAGCCUAUCUUGGAGAACUAAGGGUUUACAUUAUUGCUUUUUAAGGUAUCCGAAGAAGAACACAGAGCCGGACGAGGGCCCUGCCGCCUGCGGCACAUUCACAGAGAUACUCUGUCAAGGGAAGGAAGGACAUUUUAAAAUGAAUAGGAAGUUGGUGAGAACUGAGGGGGACCAAAUCAUCGGCCCAUUUGUCAGCCUUGAUUUGGAGAAAGUUCCCUGUUUCCUGAGUGGGGUGAGUGUAGGGGUAGGGGUGUGCCAUGUCCCCGUGAUCAAGUGGCGUGCUUGUGUUGUUCUUCUCCCAGGAUCCGGACGGGACCGGCGUGAACUUACAGUCAAAAGUGUGUGGGCUCAGGCCUGGGAUAUAUCAUACGCUCGCUUGCUAUGUGACCUUAGAUGAGUUAUUUAAUCUCUUUGCGUCUUAGUUUUCGCAUUAGUCAAAAGGAUACAGUUUUAGGGGCGCCUGGGUGGGGGUGGCUCAUUGGGUUAAGCAUCUGACUCUUCAUUUCGGCUCAGGUCAUGAUCUCACGGUUGUGGGAUCCAUGGAGCCCUGUGCUGGCUCUGUGCUGAGCGUGAAGCCUGCUUCAGACUCACUCUUUCUCUUCCUCCCCCCACCGCCCGCCCCUCCUUUGCCAGCACACUCUCUCUCUCUCUUAAAAAAAAAAAAAAUUAAAAAGGAUACAAUUUUAACCAAUUUCACAGGAAAUAAGAGGCUCUUAGUUUGGGUUUUGCCAGAAGCAGACCCUGGGACAACAAACGGCCUAUUGGGGAGGAGGAGGGAGCACAGGUGGAGGUAUGGACAGGGCCACAGAGGAAGGAAGGCAACCAGUAAAGCACCUGUCAUUCAGCCAGCUAUCACUGUGGGCACCUGCAGCUUAAUCCCCCAGAGACACUGCUGGAAGAGGCCUGGGGAAAUCGAGAUGGUUGGUCACCCUCACUCAUCUGCCAAAGUAUUAAAUACGGA
ensembl:lncRNA